rnacentral:rRNA from 1 species
GAUGAACGCUGGCGGCGUGCCUAAUACAUGCAAGUCGAGCGAACGGACGAGAAGCUUGCUUCUCUGAUGUUAGCGGCGGACGGGUGAGUAACACGUGGAUAACCUACCUAUAAGACUGGGAUAACUUCGGGAAACCGGAGCUAAUACCGGAUAAUAUUUUGAACCGCAUGGUUCAAAAGUGAAAGACGGUCUUGCUGUCACUUAUAGAUGGAUCCGCGCUGCAUUAGCUAGUUGGUAAGGUAACGGCUUACCAAGGCAACGAUGCAUAGCCGACCUGAGAGGGUGAUCGGCCACACUGGAACUGAGACACGGUCCAGACUCCUACGGGAGGCAGCAGUAGGGAAUCUUCCGCAAUGGGCGAAAGCCUGACGGAGCAACGCCGCGUGAGUGAUGAAGGUCUUCGGAUCGUAAAACUCUGUUAUUAGGAAAGAACAUAUGUGUAAGUAACUGUGCACAUCUUGACGGUACCUAAUCAGAAAGCCACGGCUAACUACGUGCCAGCAGCCGCGGUAAUACGUAGGUGGCAAGCGUUAUCCGGAAUUAUUGGGCGUAAAGCGCGCGUAGGCGGUUUUUUAAGUCUGAUGUGAAAGCCCACGGCUCACCCGUGGAGGGUCAUUGGAAACUGGAAAACUUGAGUGCAGAAGAGGAAAGUGGAAUUCCAUGUGUAGCGGUGAAAUGCGCAGAGAUAUGGAGGAACACCAGUGGCGAAGGCGACUUUCUGGUCUGUAACUGACGCUGAUGUGCGAAAGCGUGGGGAUCAAACAGGAUUAGAUACCCUGGUAGUCCACGCCGUAAACGAUGAGUGCUAAGUGUUAGGGGGUUUCCGCCCCUUAGUGCUGCAGCUAACGCAUUAAGCACUCCGCCUGGGGAGUACGACCGCAAGGUUGAAACUCAAAGGAAUUGACGGGGACCCGCACAAGCGGUGGAGCAUGUGGUUUAAUUCGAAGCAACGCGAAGAACCUUACCAAAUCUUGACAUCCUUUGACAACUCUAGAGAUAGAGCCUUCCCCUUCGGGGGACAAAGUGACAGGUGGUGCAUGGUUGUCGUCAGCUCGUGUCGUGAGAUGUUGGGUUAAGUCCCGCAACGAGCGCAACCCUUAAGCUUAGUUGCCAUCAUUAAGUUGGGCACUCUAAGUUGACUGCCGGUGACAAACCGGAGGAAGGUGGGGAUGACGUCAAAUCAUCAUGCCCCUUAUGAUUUGGGCUACACACGUGCUACAAUGGACAAUACAAAGGGCAGCGAAACCGCGAGGUCAAGCAAAUCCCAUAAAGUUGUUCUCAGUUCGGAUUGUAGUCUGCAACUCGACUACAUGAAGCUGGAAUCGCUAGUAAUCGUAGAUCAGCAUGCUACGGUGAAUACGUUCCCGGGUCU